CUAUGCGUGUGCAAGUAACUCCCCCCCCCAAUAAAUGAAACAUUUUGAUGAAUUUAUUAUUAUCAUCCUGCCACCUUGAUUAAGACGAGGUGCAUAUAUGGCCAUUGGUGGUGGGGGAGGAGGGGUUAAGAUUUGGUUUUAUGUUUUGUUCCAAGAUCUGUGAAGCAGGUUUUUUGGAGAUGAGAAGUUGUAUAUGCUUUUGAAUAGUGCCUGCGCCAUUGCGGAAUAAGUUGGACUGUGGGAUCUCAUUGCCUCUUCACCUCACACUCCGCUAGCUAAAUGUCUGGCAUACUUUAGCAAGACCUUAUAAAAAUUAGCUUCAUAAAAAACAGCCACACUGUGUGGUCAUUACUACUCCUUUCCGUGGUGAUGGGUUAUAGAAACCCAGUAUGGAAAAAAGCCUUUUUGCCCGGC
rnacentral:sRNA from 2 species